rnacentral:pre_miRNA from 1 species
UAUAAUCUUUGACUAUUCGUCUUAUUUGAAUUUUUUUACGAUUAAUAUUUUUAUUGUCAUUAGAUGAUAAAACAUGAAUAAUAUUUUACGUGUGACUAAUUUUUUAAGUUUUUUUUAUAAAAUUUUGAAAUAAAAUGGAUGGUCAAACGCUAGAUAC